UUAGUGUGAGUUAAAAUUUCGUAAGUUUUGUAUUUGUGUGUAACACAAAGCGUGAACUGUGAAGUUACAAAAGGCAGUUGUGUGCGUUCAAAAGAGCUCGCUUGUCGCGUUGCGGUGCGUGUGCUUUCCACAAUAGACUUUCAUCGCCUUUUGGAGACAAGGAAGUUGUUCGCGACUCGCGAGUGGCGCUAGCGGCCGCUUUUGUUCCUUUGGGAGGCGCGUUCCCGCGCGGCAGCGGCCGGCCACAAGACGGAGAGCGCGCGGCAGCCGGGGCCCGCCGCGCGCG